AAACCGUGGUGGGGGCAUAGUCUGAGCAUCCCCUUAAAUUUGUCCCAUGCAUUAUAUAAGGAUUUACUUUCAUUCUAUCAGAAGCUAGCAAUCAGAUUCCUCAUGUGAGU